UGAAGAUGCAGUGUACCCGCGGCAAGACGGAAAGACCCCGUGAACCUUUACUAUAGCUUGACACUGAACAUUGAGCCUUGAUGUGUAGGAUAGGUGGGAGGCUUUGAAGCGUGGACGCCAGUCUGCGUGGAGCCGACCUUGAAAUACCACCCUUUAAUGUUUGAUGUUCUAACGUGGAUCCGUAAUCCGGGUUGCGGACAGUGUCUGGUGGGUAGUUUGACUGGGGCGGUCUCCUCCUAAAGAGUAACGGAGGAGCACGAAGGUUGGCUAAUCCUGGUCGGACAUCAGGAGGUUAGUGCAAUGGCAUAAGCCAGCUUGACUGCGAGCGUGACGGCGCGAGCAGGUGCGAAAGCAGGUCAUAGUGAUCCGGUGGUUCUGAAUGGAAGGGCCAUCGCUCAACGGAUAAAAGGUACUCCGGGGAUAACAGGCUGAUACCGCCCAAGAGUUCAUAUCGACGGCGGUGUUUGGCACCUCGAUGUCGGCUCAUCACAUCCUGGGGCUGAAGUAGGUCCCAAGGGUAUGGCUGUUCGCCAUUUAAAGUGGUACGCGAGCUGGGUUUAGAACGUCGUGAGACAGUUCGGUCCCUAUCUGCCGUGGGCGCUGGAGAACUGAGGGGGGCUGCUCCUAGUACGAGAGGACCGGAGUGGACGCAUCACUGGUGUUCGGGUUGUCAUGCCAAUGGCACUGCCCGGUAGCUAAAUGCGGAAGAGAUAAGUGCUGAAAGCAUCUAAGCACGAAACUUGCCCCGA
rnacentral:rRNA from 1 species